ensembl:lncRNA
GAGUCAAACGUCAUAGUUAAUAGUGACUAUGUGUUUGCCAUACUGAAAUGUUACCCAGUGAAUAUGCAUUGCUGUCAACAUAAAAAUGCUAAAAAUUGUCUUUGCAUUUCUCAGAAUUGUCAUGUGCACAUACAACAAAUUUACAUCUUUUUAUUUCAGAUCUGCUGUAGUUAACUAUGGCAUGUGGGACCAGCUCAGGGUUGACCAUGGUAGGGAAUUUUACAUGCAAGAGAAGCUGUCAAGACACAGACACAACCUCAGCAGACAACCAUACCUCCAAACAGCUUCAACAAUGAAUCUUAGAGUUGAAAGGAUUUGGCCUGAAGUGAACAAUCGGGUGAACUACCCAUUGAAACAGGCCCUGGUGCACCUGCUAGACCAAGAAGUCAUCAACAUGGAGGGCAGUAUGACUAAAUUCUGCACUUCAAACCUGGCAUGUCAGUUAAGCCAAAUUGGACUAAAUAGAGUAGUGCAGGCAUGGGAUGCUCAUAGGAUCCCAGGUAUGCUCUGAGGACUUUACAAUGUUUUUCUGAAUAGGCACUUUAAAAUCACGGCACAUUCACUUUGAUAGCUGCUGUUUACCAUGCUUAAUUGUUUUAGGCCGUGGAAUACUCAAUGAACUUGCAGCAAGUGGAUGUCCAUCAAAAAUUUCAGAUGAGCUGCUGCCCAAUGCCUCUGUUGUGGCAAAUAUGACGAGCAGGAGUUGGGAUCGUCGCUGACUUGGAUGUCUACCUUUGGAACGGACCCCUUUUCCUCUGAGGAGGACAGAUGUCAUGCAGAGCAGGACUUUGUAGAAAAGUAUCCAGACAUCUCUCUACUUUUCAAUCAAGCAGUGAACAGUGAAUAUAGCCUUUUUCAGGAUGCAUUGCUUUACCUUAUAAAUGUAACCCAAAGAUAUGUAUGAAAAGUGACAUCAAUUCUCUAUUUUUUUUAUUUUUUAUUUUUUUAAAGCAGUGAAGUCUUAAUUAGGCAGUAUUAAUUAGGCAUGUGGUAGACUUCUACUGUGAAGUCUAUAAAAUCAGCCUGGGUAUACAAAUAAUGGAUUCAAUUUAUGUAUGCAUGUAUUUAUGUAUGCAUGUAGUUUGAUUGCAUAAUUGCUGUUA